rnacentral:rRNA from 1 species
AUGGCGAAAUUCUUUUGGAGCAGCUCCAUCGACAAAAAUGUGUUACAUUGGGUGUCCUGGAAGAAUUUGGCUACACCAAAGUGCCAAGGUGGUAUGGGGUUUCGUGACCCCCAUCAGUUUAAUAUUGCGCUACUCGGGAAGCAUGGGUGGCGGUUUAUGACGAACCCUAAUUCCCUGUGCGCAAGGGUAAUGAAAGGCCGCUAUUUUCCUGACACAGAUUUCUUGCAUGCUACUGUUCCCAAAUCAGCGUCUGCUACUUGGCGGGGCAUUUGGUCUAGAAUUCAAACGUUCAAGAAGGGUUACAUUUGGAGAGUAGGCAACAGAGAAAAGAUUAAUAUAUGGGAUGACUAUUGGAUCCCGAACCGUGCAUCCAAAAAAGUUUUAACAUUAAGGGGGAACCAAGUACUUACUAAAGUAAAUGAGUUAAUUGACCCAAUCACGGGAAAAUGGGAUGAGAUGUUAAUUCGGGAGAAUUUCGGGCACAUUGAUGCUGAACGCAUACUACAAAUUCCAUUAUUCCAUGUGGAGACCGAGGACUAUGUUGCAUGGCAUCUCACGAGGAGCGACGUUUUUUCAGUACAUUCUUCCUAUUAUAAGAAAUGGGAAGUGAAUUAUGAUACAGAUGACAACGGUCUGGCCCGCUUCUCCAUGGCGUCCCAUCCAGUUUGGAAGAAGUUGUGGAGUUUGAGAGUGCCAGCCAAAGUUAAAAUUUAUAUCUGGAGAUGCUUGCACAAUACCAUCCCAUGCCAGAGUACUCUUAUGCAUCGCUAUGUUGGAAACUUGUCCCAAUGCCUAUACUGAACAGAUGGUGCGGAGGACUUAGCACAUAUGAUGUUUAAGUGUGCAAGGGCGCAAGUAGUUUGGGAAGCUUUGGGAAUUGCAACAGAUAUUAACUUUGAUUCUUUGACUGAUCGAGUAGGUUCAACAGUCUUGGAGUUCAUUUUAUGUGAUGAUUCUUAUCGACAACAAUAUUCUGGAUGGUCCAGCUACUAG